rnacentral:rRNA from 1 species
AUGGAACGCUGGCGGGAGGCCUAACACAUGCAAGUCGAACGAGUGGCGGACGGGGGAGUAAUGUCUGGGAAACGGCCCGAUGGAGGGGGAUAACUACUGGAAACGGUAGCUAAUGCCGCAUACUAUCAGAUGUGCCCAGAUGGGAUUAGCUUGUGGGUGGGGUAACGGCUCACCCAGGCGACGAUCCCUAGCUGGUCUGAGAGGAUGACCAGCCACACUGGGACUGAGACACGGUCCAGACUCCUACGGGAGGCAGCAGUGGGGAAUCUUGCACAAUGGGCGCAAGCCUGAUGCAGCCAUGCCGCGUGUAUGCAGAAGGCCUUCGGGUUGUAAAGUACUUUCAGCGGGGAGGCGUUACCCGCAGAAGAAGCCCCGGCUAACUCCGUGCCAGCCGCCGCGGUAAUAC